rnacentral:rRNA from 1 species
UCCAGCAGCCAUAUCACCCUGUAGCCCAAGACUGGUUGCCCACUAAAGCUAAGCAGAGCUGAGCCUGGUCAGUACCUGGAUGGGAGACCUCCUGAGAAAACUAGGUUGCUGCUGGAA